rnacentral:rRNA from 1 species
CCUACGGGAGGCAGCAGUGGGGAAUAUUGGGCAAUGGACGCAAGCCUGACCCAGCAACGCCGCGUGAAGGAAGAAGGCUUUCGGGUUGUAAACUUCUUUUCUCGGGGACGAGGCAAGUACCGGUACCUGUGGAAUAAGCCACGGCUACCUCCGUGCCAGCAGCCGCGGUAAUACGUAGGUGGCAAGCGUUAUCCGGAUUUACUGGGUGUAAAGGGCGUGUAGGCGGGACUGCAAGUCAGAUGUGAAAACCAUGGGCUCAACCUAUGGCCUGCAUUUGAAACUGUAGUCCUUGAGUACUGGAGAGGCAGACGGAAUUCCUAGUGUAGCGGUGAAAUGCGUAGAUAUUAGGAGGAACACCAGUGGCGAAGGCGGUCUGCUGGACAGCAACUGACGGUGAGGCGCGAAAGCGUGGGGAGCAAACAGGAUUAGAUACCCGUGUAGUC